rnacentral:lncRNA from 1 species
AUGGAGAGUUUGGAUGCCCCGAACAUCUUCUUCCGUAAAGAUAAUUACGUCGUCCGGUCAUGGCUUCUUUGUCGGCUCCCCUCCGGCAGACGUCUCCGGGCCCAGUCGUUUGGAAAUCAUGAUGACCCCGAUCGUUGGCUGAUUGGUCAUCACUUCUUCAGUCCUCGUCGAUCGACAACUGGUUGAGUCGGCGGGUUCCUUCAAAAUUUACCGAGAUACCCCC